rnacentral:lncRNA from 1 species
CACAACCCAGUAGUUGUACGCAUCAAUACACGGUGCAAACGACGAGAAUAAACAACGAUCCAAACGGCAACAACGCGUGAGACACCACCCGACCCCUGUACGCGCUUCACUCUUCCUCACGCGACAAGAACGCACUCUCUAACGUUCACAAGGGACGUGGCGUCAAGUAGACGGAAAGCAGUACGCUGGGUCUCUCUUGUCGUCUUCUCCCGUGUCCCUCUCAAGCAGUACUGUCCCGGCAGCAAGCAGAAGCACGCGUUUUUCCCUUUCCUCUUUCGGAAUAGGGCGAAAAUUUCAGAGAAAGUAUGUCCUCCUUUAAUGGUGAAAGAAAUUUUGAAGUUUGAAUUUGAAUUUGGGCUCUUUUUGUCCGGAUUUGGAUCCAUUUUCCCCCCAUUUCCCGAAUCCCUCCUAUAUAUGGUCAACUGUUGAAAAGGAAUCGCGGGGGAUCUUUUUUUUAGUUGGAAGAAAUAUUAAAGAAAUUAGUUGAAAUUUGGGAAAAAGCACGAUGAACUGCUAGUUACAAAUAUUUACAUAUAAAAUUCGGGAAUAGGACUCAGGAACAAAGAGAGUGAGAGUUUAGGCGUUGCUCGAGUCUUUUGCUAGCUUCUUUGUCACCGGAAUCUCUCGGAGUCAUCGGAAAUCGCUGCUCUCCAAGCUCGUUCUCGUCCCAGCUCUGCUGCCCAGAAAUAGGUAAUACGUCCUUCCUUAUUUACGUUUUAUCUCAAUUUCAAGUGUUGCGCUGAAUCGGUUUCUGUUGGGUUUCCAUUUUGUUCCCCCCUUCUGGCAACUUUUAUGCUUUUGAUUCAAAAUCUAUUAGUUGGAAUGUGGGUGUUGAAGCUUUUUUUGCUGGCUUGAUUUCCGACUAAUCACCAAAUCAUUAACGUCUCACCUCAUCUAAAAACUCAAAUCGAGAUAUGUUUGUCUAGUCUUAACUUUUUGUGUUCGUUGGGAAUCACGUGUUCGCUUUGUUUUGAUUCUUAUGCCUAAUAUAUUCUUAAGCAUGAGUUCAUUUGACAUUAUAUUAUAUUGAUUGUUGAAUCCUUUGGCUCAAUUUUGUUUCUGUGAAACUAGUAAUAUCUUUAUUUCGUCUCGUUCGAACUUGUUUAAAGUUCAUUUGGUCCCAUCCGUAUGUCGUUAGGUGAUUUCCAUUUUUAUUUUAUUUUUUUAGUAGAGAAAAAAUAAAAUAAAAAUCAGCUUGUUUCAUGUUCUUAGUCCAUAAGACUUAUACGACUAGUCGCUUUAAUCAUUGAUAGAUAUAUAAUUUUAUUUCAUUUCUCUUUUACUAGCAUGACUUUCUCUUUAUAUAAGGUUACGUUAACCACUGAUUAUUUGUUUACCAUAAUGUGGGCUGCCCUUAUAGAUUUUAUUGUGAAAUAUAUGUAUGUGUCCGUAAGCGUCUCUAGUAUGGUAUUUUCUUCGGUUUAAUCAUGUGUUUGGUAUUGCUGCCCAAUCAUGCUAUUUCUUACGGACAUUAUUCAUGCUAGUUUAUGCUAUCAUUUAACAUGUUUGAUUUCAAUAAUGCUAUGUUUGAUCUGUUCAUAAUGUGGACUGCUUUUGUUGUGCCUUGUUUUACUCUUAUUUAGUUGUUGUAAGUUUUCAAAAUUAAGAAAGCUCCCUUCCCCUCAUCCCGCCUUAGUUCGUGACUAUACUCUUAGGGGUCGUUUGGUUUGAAAAUGAGUUAUGAUGGGAUAAGUUAUGUUGGGAUAAGUUAUGUUGGGAUUAGUUAUGAUGGGAUAAGUUGUGUUGGGAUUAUUUUUUAUUGAGUGUUUGGUUUGUUGUAUUCAAAAUAAUAAAUUUUAAGAACAAUUUAUUUGUUUACAAAAAUGCCCUUCAUUAAUGUAAAAAGUGAUAUAACAAAAGGGUUGAAAGAGACAUUUUUGUCAUUUACCUAUUUAUCCCGGGAUAAGUUAUCCCGGGAUUACUAUACCACCCUAGGUUAGGGAUAACUUAUCCCGGUACUAAUUAUUAAUCCCGGGAUAAGUUAUCCCGAACUUGCCAACCAAACACAAAUAAGCGGUACUAUAAUUUAAUCCCGGGACUAUUUGGUAUUAUCCCUCACACCAAACGACCCCUUAAUUCUUCAAGUGUACUACUUGUUUAUCUCCAUUAUGAAUUAAUUACUUGACAACGUGCUUGUUAGAAUUUGUGUUCCUAUUCUAAUUCUCUUUCUUCCAUCUAUUUGUAUGUAUGUUAAUCGUCGAGGGUCCGCUGGGACUUCUUGUUUGCAUUCCCUUCGCAUUUCGGGUUGGUGGAAACCCAAAAACUUCUUUAUCGAGUCAAGCUCAUCCAUCAUCCGAAUGGCUGCGAAACUGGCAUACAGGCGGAAGCCGAUGAAUGAAGGCUGGAAAUUAAAUUUUGCAGGUCUCAAAACGCCUCAAAGGGGCUGAUAUACCUGCUGUAUACACUCGUAUACAGCCGGAAAUAUAGUUUACAGGUUGCAAAAUAUGAGGAUACAAGUUUGAUGAUAAGACAUAAGUCGAUAGCUAUUGUUCAAGGAAAAACGCAGAAAUAUGGACCCCAAACACGGUCCAUAUACAGUGAUAUACGUAAAGGGUAUACGCAGAUUUUUUCCAAAAGCAAAACAGGCCCAAAGGCCUUAGACAAUUUCAGCAAAGUCCAAGAUGUGGGAAAUUUGGGCCAAAGGCCCAAAUUUGAUUAUUUCUUUUCCCUCCCUUAUUAUUUAUAUUGUGUUUGACUAAUUUUGUUUAUUUUAUGGUUUUAAUUUAAUUAAAUUCCCCAAGAUAGCCAU